GAUGUGGAUUAAUUCGAUGCAACGCGAAAAACCUUACCUACCCUUGACAUGGAUGGAAUCCUGAAGAGAUUUGGGAGUGCUCGAAAGAGAACCAUCACACAGGUGCUGCAUGGCUGUCGUCAGCUCGUGUCGUGAGAUGUUGGGUUAAGUCCCGCAACGAGCGCAACCCUUGUCAUUAGUUGCUACGAAAGGGCACUCUAAUGAGACUGCCGGUGACAAACCGGAGGAAGGUGGGGAUGACGUCAAGUCCUCAUGGCCCUUAUGGGUAGGGCUUCACACGUCAUACAAUGGUACAUACAGAGGGCCGCCAACCCGCGAGGGGGAGCUAAUCCCAGAAAGUGUAUCGUAGUCCGGAUUGGAGUCUGCAACUCGACUCCAUGAAGUUGGAAUCGCUAGUAAUCGCGGAUCAGCAUGUCGCGGUGAAUACGUUCCCGGGUCUUGUACACACCGCCCGUCACACCAUGGGAGCGGGUUUUACCAGAAGUGGGUAGCCUAACCGCAAGGAGGGCGCUCACCACGGUAGGAUUCGUGACUGGGGUGAAGUCGUAACAA
rnacentral:rRNA from 1 species